rnacentral:rRNA from 1 species
UACGGAGGGAGCUAGCGUUGUUCGGAAUUACUGGGCGUAAAGCGCGCGUAGGCGGCUUUGUAAGUUAGAGGUGAAAGCCCGGAGCUCAACUCCGGAACUGCCUUUAAAACUGCAUCGCUUGAAUCCAGGAGAGGUGAGUGGAAUUCCGAGUGUAGAGGUGAAAUUCGUAGAUAUUCGGAAGAACACCAGUGGCGAAGGCGGCUCACUGGACUGGUAUU